AUUGCAUAAUGCAGUAGCCACUGGAUUUGCAGCAGAAACACUCUGCUACAGAACAAGUGUCUUGGUUCACAGCAAAGAGGACAAAGAAAACAGCAAGUUUUAGGGGGUUGAAUCCUGGAUUCCCCUGGCAAACACCAUUCUACUUUCUGUCUCUAUGAAUUUGACUACUCGAAGUACCUCAUGUGAAAUGUUGGUGCCAAAUGAACUUUUCUGGUUCUUCUGAAUAUGCCACUGUUGCUGCAGAAAUGUCACUGCUAGAGAAUAGAAGACUAUUAUUACAAAAGGUAUUUGAGACUGACUGAAUCAGGUCUGGAACAUUAUUGAAAUGAGACCCACAAAGGAAGAGAUACUGAGUAAUUCAGCAUUUCCAGUGACACCUUUCUGGCUGUGUGUCAAAGGGAAGAUGACGCUAGAGCUGGCAGCACGACCAGCACUGUGUAAAUCACCCAGACAGACAACAACACAACAUCCAUGAAUAAACGGCAGAGUUAGCAAGAAAAAAUAGCUUGGAGGAUGGAAAAACCCCAAAGGAUACUCCAGCUAAGAAAGUAUGGACGCUUCCCCUAGUUUAGAAUGCACUUCAGAUGGAUUCCAAGCUAGAACAAGGUCUAUCUGGAUGUGAAGUCUUGUGACAUGAACUAAUG
rnacentral:antisense_RNA from 1 species